AGUUUGAUCAUGGCUCAGGAUGAACGCUGGCGGCAUGCCUAACACAUGCAAGUCGAACGGAAUCUUAUAUGUUCCUUGUCUCGAAUCUUUGCGGAUUAGAGCUACGGAACAAUAAGAUUAGUGGCGGACGGGUGAGUAACACGUUGGUACCUACCCCUUAGUGGGGAAUAACUUCGAGAAAUCGAGGCUAAUACCGCAUAAUAUCUACGGAUUAAAGCAUUUAUGCGCUAAGGGAGGGGCCUGCGUCUGAUUAGCUAGUUGGUGAGGUAAAAAGCUCACCAAGGCGACGAUCAGUAGCUGGAUCGAGAGGUUGACCAGCCACACUGGGACUGAGAUACGGCCCAGACUCCUACGGGAGGCAGCAGUGAGGAAUCUUCCACAAUGGACGAAAGUCUGAUGGAGCAAUGCCGCGUGCAGGAUGACGGCCUUCGGGUUGUAAACUGCUUUUAUAUGGGAAGAUUAUGACGGUACCAUAUGAAUAAGGACCGGCUAACUACGUG
rnacentral:rRNA from 1 species